ensembl:antisense Gm16226 predicted gene 16226
AGUGCAAGGGCAGUCAGACUGCCUCAGACACAACACCCAGAAAUCUUCUAAAGCAGCUGUUGAUGUGUCGGCACGAGGCAACUCACGGAGGCAUACCAAGUACCUAUGACAAGUAAGACCGGAGGAGAGGACCAGACAGCAGGGAUGAGAUGGGAAACCAUGAAAGACCCACACAGCUAUGUUGUGGAUUCUUAGGAACUCCCUGUACUGGAGGAGGCGGCGAAAGGGCAGCUCAAAAGGAAAACAAGAGCAGCUUGGUAACCCCUGAGAAGCCUCUGUGCAUGUGGUCUUGUGUACACAAACAGACAUGAAGCCUGAGAGCAAAGCUGAAAAAUACAAUCACUGUGGUUUCUG